AAAACUUUAAAUGUUUUUUUAUCACAUAUAAACAGAUAUAUACCUUAAAUUAUAUUCAUUAAUGGUAGAGAGGGGGGUUAAACCAUAAAGUUGGUUGUCAUUAGAUUGCUGUGGGUGCUUUGUAUCUUCUUUGAGUGGUGCUUGUGAUGUUUCCCAUGGUGAAUGCAUGUCAUGGGCAGUCUUUAUUUAGAAGGUAUUUCCAUGGGUUUGGAAGUUCUGGGGAUGAAUGGUCAUUCAGGAGCUUUUCUUUGUUUCCUCUAGUAUACAUUUCCAUUGUUUCCGCAAGAAGCGUAUGCCUCUCUUUGUCUAAAGAUCUGACUAUUCUUGUUUCUUGCCAGUUUACUGUUAUAUCAUUCUCUAUAGCUGCCAAGGCUACAGCUGUGUUAUUUUUCCCUUUUUCUGGGUCCUUC
rnacentral:lncRNA from 1 species